rnacentral:lncRNA from 1 species
AGUGCUGGGAUUACAGGCAUGAGCCACCGUGACCAGCCAGUUGUUCUUUCCUUUGGGAUGUUUUUCAGGCUGACUUCACUCUGACCCAUAACUCAUGACUCACCUGUCAUAUGGCCCCACCCAGAGGCCCACUUUGUGCACAAGGAUCAUUUUCCACAUCCCCAACCAGUCAGCAGCAUCCAUUUCCUAGCCCCCUGCCCACCAAAUUGUCCAUAAAAACAUUAAAUUUCCAGCCUUCUUCAGGGAGACUGAUUUGAGUGAUAACUCCAGUUCUCCUGCCUUGGCCAGCCUUGUCUGUGCAGAGGACAAGAAGAACACCUUGGGUGAUUACAACCUCCACCUCCCAGCUGAGGUGUCCUGAGAUGGGCAACUUCACGUUCUGGCCUGAGUCUGCUCUGGAACUACAGUGCAAGUAUAGAUUCCUUUUUUACCCUAGGCUGGGUAAGAAGCAAGGGAACAAAUUUCCAUGAUCCUUAAAAGCUGAGAACGUGUUAUAAUUUACCCUCUUCCCUUUCCUGCAACUCAAACUCCUUUGGCUUCUUAGCAUCCAUCUCUGUAUUCUGAGGCCUCAGGGUACCAAUGGCACUUUCAUUUUCGGUAGAAAGGGUGAGUCCCUCUUCCUGCCUUGUCGCUCCGAUCUCUACAGCUUCCCAGGGGAAUGAUUCACUCCAUCUUCCUGCUAUAUCACCCUUAUCUUCAUCUAUAAAUUCCUGCAUUCACACAGAUAAUCACCAGAUCACCCCCAUAGGGGCUCCAGAUUUGGCUCCUCUCCUUUGGAGAUCCCCUUGCCAUACUGAAAAAUGCCUAUGGUUAUAUAGAUAUAAGCUGAAGGCCCAGAAUAUAACUUCAUGGUUGUGUUGAAGGCCAAGGCCUUGUCCAUCACUCUACAGUUUCUCACUUAACGGGCUAGAGGAUGUAGCAGACAGACUUGAAGGUGAGUCUCAAGAUUCCUGGUGCCCUGAUGUUCACACCCUUGUAUAAUCUUUAACCAAAGAAUGUGGGUGAGGUCUGGGACCUGCAUCUAGUUAAUAGAAUAUGGCCAAGGAGAUCUGACGUCACUCUCUUAUACACUUCUGUAUGUAAGAUGACUCCGUCUUGGUCGCUGUCUGGCUCUAGAGUCCCUCUGUUUAGUCAGGGUCUUCCAGAGAAACAGAACCAGUAGGAUUUGUAUACAUACAGAAAUAAAUUUAUUGUAAGAAAUUGGCUCAUGUGGUUAUGGAGGUUGGUGAGUCAAAAUCUACAGUGUGGACUAGGAGACUGGAGACACAGGAGAGCUGGUGGUGUGGUUGAGGUCUGAAAGCCAUCUGCUGGAGAAUCCUUUCUUACUUGGGAAGGUGGGGUUUUUGUUCUCAUCUGAUGGGAUGAGGCACACCCACAUUAAGGAAGGCAAUGUACUUUACUCAAAGUCCACCAAUUUAAAUGUCAAUCUCAUCCCAAAACACCCUCCAAAUUGACACGUAAAAUCAACCACUACACUUUCCUAUGUCACUUUGAAGAAGCAAGCUGCUGAGUCCUACAGCCACAAGGAAAUUAAGUCUGCCAAUCACCAAGUGAGUUUUGGGUGGGUCCUUCCCUAGCUGGGCCUUUGGACCAGAACCUAACCCCUGGCCAACACCUUGAUUGCAGCAACGAGAAGGACGUGGCUAAACCAUGCCUGGACUCCCUGUCCACAGAAAUGAUGAGAUAAGUGGGUGUUGUUUAAAGCAGCUAAAUUUGUGGUCAAUUUUUAUACAGCACAGAAAAUAAUACAGCAUAUAAUUUAUUAAUUAGAAACUAAUUGUCUUUAAAGAAUCUCCCAUCUCCAUUCUAGAAAUAAUCUUGAUAUUCUGCUUAUCAAAAUUGUAUGCCCAUUGGUCUCAAAUAACCUAUGGUAUGUCAUAACUAUUAGUAUAACCAGUGCAUUUCUUUUGUCAAUUUUGCUGAUCCUAAAGUAUAAUCAUAGUGUUACAGUUCUCAAUGUAACAUUAAUAAAACACAUACACCAGUGUUUGAUUGUGUGUUUUCUGACUUUUCUCAUCUAUAUCAUGAGACAACGAUGAGGAAAAGACACCCAAGAUGGCACAGAAUUCAACCCGGUGAUUGUGAAAUGCCUUCUCAUCCUUGUGUCUAUCAUCAGAGGGCUGGACCAGAGGAGCCCUGCGUAUUCAUUCUCUUUGACUUUGACUCCUGGGAUAAGCACUUCGUUUCUACCUCAUCCUGCACCCCAACAAAUAAAUUAAUUCUGAAAAUCAAUCCCAGAUUUAUACUUCAGAACUCAUCCGGAGACUAGUUAUGGAUUACAGUCUCCAUACUUCAUGAAUAAAGAGAAGCUUGAUACCCUCAAGGACCCUGUGACACAGCCACAAGACAUAGGCCAAUAAGCUGUUUCACUCUAUUGGAUGAAAAUGGGCCAAAAGUGCCUGAUGAUCAAGAAGUAACGAGUUUCAUGGCUCUGGCAAAUAAUUUUGGGUAAGCCCUUUUGACCCAUUUACCAAGCAUCCUGUAAGAAUGGCAGCUUUCACUGUGGGCCAUACCAAGAAAAGACUUCUAGCUGGUUCAGGCUAAAGUGCAAACUGUUCUGCCAUUUGGGCUUCAUAACCUAGCAGAUAAAACAGUGUUCAAGGUGUCUAUGGCAGCUUAAGAUUCUGUGUGGAGCUUGGGGCAAGCCGGGAUGAGAGUCACAGUGUAAAACCCUAGGGAUUUUGAAGAAUCCAUGCUCUUUUCUGCAAAUACUCACACACAGCUCCUGGCUUACUACUGAGUCCUUGAAGAGCCUGAAUGCCUCACCGUAGGAUUUACAUGACCAUGUGACCUGUUCUCCCCAUCAUGACCUGGCUCUUAUCUGGUCCUCUAAGUCACAAAAUUGAGUGUGAUAUAGCAGCAUUCCAUCAUGAAGGAGCAAAGUUAUAAACAAGAUCAGGACAAAACCAGCUCCAAACGCACAAGUAAUUUUUAUGAGCAGAUUGUUCAUACUUCUACAACUCCCACAUCCACUACUAGAACAUCUCUCCCUAAUUCCUAACUUACAGCUGCAUGGUGCAUUCUCCGUGACCAGUUAACUGUUCUCCAUGACCAGUUAACAUUUCAGGAAGAAAAAAAAUGGAAUCUAGUUCAUAAAUAGUCCAACACUGAGAAAGAUAGGGACUUCUGUGGAAUCAUAGCUAUCAUUGAGGAGAGAGGGCAGACAGAAUAGGAUUCCCAAGGGUUCCUAUAGUUGUAUACAUUGAAGAAAAGAUGGUCGAAAUUAUACAUCUAUACUGAUUCAGGGACAGUAAGUAAUGGUUUGACCGAAUAGUUAGAAACUUGGAAGAAAAUCAAGAUUAUAUUUGUUGCAAAAAUGUCUGAGAUGUAAGGGGGUAUGGACUUUUAAGAAUCUGCCCAAGGGAGAGUAAUGGUGUCUCAUGUAAAUGCUCCCCACAGCACACUGACUACAAAAGAACUCAGUGCAGUGUUGCACAAGAUGACCUGUUCAGUGGAUAUAAAUUAAUCCCUUUCCCAAGCUGGCCAGUGCUUGUUUAAUAAGUUAUGAACAAAGUGUCAAUGAUGCCGAGCCAGAGGUUACACAUGGACACAACGAUACGUAUUUCCUCUUUAAAAAGCAGAUAUGACUACCACCAGUUCUCAUUGUCCAAGUGACCAGUAAGAGAGACCAAAGUUAAUUUUUAAAACUGGCACCAUAAGGAAAAGGCAGCAACCAGUUAACUAGUGGAAGCUUGAUGACAUUGGAUCUCUUCCAUCAUGGAGGAGGCUUCAGUUUGUUCCCAUAUUAACAGACUCAUUCUGGAUGUGGAUUUUCCUCCCCACCCUCUGUGCUACUUUCAUCAAGACCAUCUGUGAACUUAGUGAAUGCCUCAUUCAUUAUCACAUAGCUGAGCUCACCUCACAAUGCUUCUGGUCAACAUUCUUUUUACAGCAAAAAGGACCCAGUCAAUGAACUUAUGUCUAUGGAAUUUUUGUACCCAGAAGCAACUGUCUGAAAUGAGAUUGAAUGACAUUGCAGUAUUCAAUACUAGCAUGCAUAAAGUUACUAUAAUAACAAAAAUAAUAAAGAAUAAAAUAACAAAAAUAAUUAAAAAGCGCUAUAGAGAUGCUGGACAAAAGUUCUCCCAUCAUCAAGCUCCAAAAUAGAAAAUUCAAAGUUUAAAUUCCCUUGCAAAUUAAAGCACAAAGAUGUUAAGAUCUAAAGAAGCUAAAAUCCAAAAUCGAAAAAUCUUAGUCACACAAGUUAAAUUUCAGUGUUCAAAAUUUCAAUUUAAAAAUCAAUAAUUAGCUUCUCAAAUUUCUUAUCUUUCUCAGUUUCAGGCACAGCAGUUUUGUUGUUGUUGUUGUUGUUUUUUGUAUCCUGUGAGGUGGUGAAAUACCUUUCUCAGUGGAAUGUGUGCAAACUUUUUAAGAGCUUCACAGUCUGGGUUAGUUCAAUGCCAGACAUAUCCCAUGAGCCUCAUUUAUUAAGGAUUUAAAGAUUUAAUAAGAGACACAAGAUUAUCCCAGCAUUAACCCCACACAAGCAACAUUUAGAAAAGAAGCUAUCCCUAGUUCCUCAGUUACUAUCCUAGCCAAAAUUAUCUUCCUAUUAUCGAGUACUUAACGUUGCCAACAAUAACAAAUGCACAGAAUGUCAGUGGAAAAGAGAAAAAGAUAUUGGCUUCAGGCUCAACGAGAUGCCAGUUGGUCAAUGCCAGUGGUCAAGAAUCCAGAAGCUGAGAAUUUACAUUCAAGAAGAAAAUAAUUUUUCCAGCUUGAGAUUAAUUCAUAGAACAUUUACAAAUUUGGUUUGAUUUUUUUGUAUAUUGGCCAUGUCUGGGGGGAGAAAAGCUCCUUGUGCAUGCAAUACUUCUCUAAGUCAUAUUUGAUUCAUUGCUUCUUUUGGUCCAAGAUGAGAAAUUUGCUAUGGUGACCACCUGUGUUACCAGUUCCACACUUUCCCUUCAGCAUAUGUUUUCAGUUCUGGGCCUUGUGUCUGAUUUUACCAUCUCUUUAUAAGAAAUUGCUUAGGUCUAAGAAACUUGAUUUCCAAGGAAGAUUUUUUCCUCUUGUGCAUACAUUUGUUCAACCUCAAGUCCAUAUGAUGUAUCGCUAGAGCUCGUGGGCAAGCCAUGUAACUCCAAGGCCAGCCCUUCCAGUGUCCACCUUGGACCUUAACACAAAUCCAGAAUUUGUAUUUGUGGCAGGCAAUGAACAUACCACUGCCCCACCCCAGGCCAGGGCCCGACAAUAUAAAGCUAGUAUAUUGCUGUAACACCAUAGCACAAUUAAAAUCAUGUAACUUGCAAUUGCAACUCAGAAAUGCCAAAUAUUAUUCUUUCUAAUAAUAUCUAAAAAAUUGUAGAGCCUUUCUAAUCUACAAGUGCAUGCCACAGCUGUGCCUGUGGAAUGAGUUAAGCAGCCAGCAGCUGCAUUUUGAAGCAAAUCAUACUUUCUAAUAGCCCGUUUUCUUUUUUCCAGACCCUCAGAGGUGAAGUCCCCUGCAGCAUGUUGCAAGCCCAUGUUUGUUUGCCAGACCACUUGUCUCUUUGCUGAGUCCUAAUCUUUGCAUAACUCUCAGCCUCUACAGAAAUAGCCAUUUCAUAAUUUCAUCUUUACACACACAUACAUAUAUGCAUACAUAUAGACACACACAGCUUUGAAAAAUGAUAAUAAACAACUUCUUCAAUUCAAAGCAUGGUGUCUACCUUCUAAACAGCUAAAGAUAACAAUGAGCAAAAGCAUUUACAUAGUAAAAGCAGAAAAAUCACAAACAUUAAAACCCAGGAAGUAUAAAGCAAAAUGGCAGAAGUAAAAUCUACCAUAUAGUUGUAAUAGCACAUUUGGGUUGCAGAACAUGUUGCCACUUAAAGGAGUAAAACUUGAGAAUGAGAUUUUUUAAAUCUAAUUAAAUGUUUCUUAAAAUCAUAUGCAUUAAAAAUUAUACACACAUAAUUCAGAAAUAAAGUAAGAAGCAAAAUCUCUACAAGGAAACCACUAACAAAGGAAUGCAAUGCUAAAAUUAAUAACAGAAAUAACAUUUUAAGUAAGAAAUCAUUAAAGGGAGUAAGGUGAGUCAUUUUUAUAUUGUUAAAAGGUUGAAUCCAUAAUAAAACCAUUAUUGUAAAAAAUCUUUUACGUACCAAGUAGUGAAAUUUGACAAUAUGCCAUGCAAACAGCAGUAAUAGACAAAAAAUUCUUUGCGUGCCUAGAAUAUUUGUGGGAAACCAUUCUUCACUUAUUCUAAUUUGUAUAAUUCACAAC